UUUCUUUCGUCCCAGAAUUUAAACAUUUGAAUCAUAUGACACAUCUCCAGAGAGAUCAUGGCAAGAAGAGGAUGAGCUCCAGGAAAGUGUGGUCUCUGGAUCUGAUAUCAGUUGCAGAGAUAAUGGAGGACUGGAGUGACACUAUUUCGAA